rnacentral:lncRNA from 1 species
AAUAAUCCAAUAUUUAAAUCAAAAAUAGGCAAAAUUACCCGAGAGCCAUAAUUACGCUCAUCAUUGCCUAACUUCGAUAUUCUUACAUCGGAACGAUCCGAACUUAAAUAUCAUACUCAAUAGUCGUAAAUACAACCUCCCCAAAAUACGACUUAAAUCCAACGGCCGGAUUCUACAUUAAUUACCAAAAAUACCACACUUCGGAAAUUCACAAACCUAUCCAAAUCUCAUCCAAAAAUUCCAUAAAUCACACCAAUAUACUCCUCUUAAUAUUCCACAUUUAAAACCCUAAAAAUCUCCUAACCGGCAGCGGCGGCCGGCAGCCGUUUUCCGGCGACCUGCAAACGCUACCAAAUUUUAACAGAAUCUUCCUCUCAAUCUCCUCUACAACUUUCAUGACCAACACAUCACCCAAUUCCAAGCCUAACUAGGCUAAUCGAACGAAAAUAACUUAAAAGCCUAGAAAUUUCAACUCCACAUUUCUCCUUACCUAGCUAAAGAGGGAGGGAGCUGCUUGGAGGGGUUGUUGCACGGGAGGAGGGCUACAAAACCGUACCAAGCUUGCCCGGAUUGGUGGCCGGAGGAGGAAGUUCCGGCGAAGGGAAGCUCGGGGCAGCCUAGCCUUUCGGGCGGCACCGCUCACUCACGGCGGAGCUAGGGCUCCUCUCACCGGUCCAGGAAGGCUGCUGGGUUGGAGGUCGAUCGAUUGGAACCGGUGCGGCGGUCUGGGGCGGCCGGACGGCGGCGGACGGCGGUGGUGAAGUUUCCCGGGUGGAGGGAGAAGAAAUGCGGGUGGGAAGAGAGAAAACGGGAGGGAGAGAGAGAGAAAGGAAGAAGAAAUGGGUUGGGCUCGGCCCAGCCGACCCAACACUCCUUUUUAACCCAAACUUCCAAAAUAAAAACACCCUGAAAAAUAAUACCCGAAUAAAAAUUACCUUUUACUAGCUAAAAUUUACUAUUUUACCGUCUUCGUAUUUUCAUCAUACGAAUAAUCCUCCGCACAUAAUCGUCCCCGAAACCCCUCUAGGGACCAAUUAAACUAUUUACUCAUGAUCAAGACGGUAAAAUUCUUAUUAUCAUCACGCUAGUAAAUAAGGUAAAAAUAUAAGGGUCGGGAAUGUGACAAAACACCUGCAGUGGUACUGUCAUUAUCCGCCGAUUUCAC